AGUGGAUACAGUGGGUACAGUGGGUUCAGUGGUUCAGUGGAUACAGUGGGUACAUUGGUUCAGUGGGUUCAGUGGGUUCAGUGGGUACAGUGGAUACAGUGGGUACAGUGGCUUCAGUGGGUUCAGUGGGUUCAGUGGAUACAGUGGGUACAUUGGCUUCAGUGGGUACAGUGGGUUCAGUGGGUACAUUGGGUUCAGUGGGUUCAGUGGGUUCAGUGGGUAGGUUAACGAGAGCGGGGAAACAAAAGAAUACAGGAAAGUUUCAGGUGAGAAAACCUGCUCUGUGGAGAGGAACUGCAGAGUUGACAAUUGUCUUGAGGUUUCUCUCAGACGACCACUUUCACAGUGUUAUUGUAUCUAUUUUUAGCAUGAAAUUAUUAACUAGUGCAGCUUUAAGGUAAACCUUAGACAAUCUUAUAAUUUUAAAUUUCUUGUUAGGGUGAUAAUAGAACAUCAAUUCAGCGCUACAGAAUAAAAUAUCGACUUGUGGCUUACUCUACAAAUAUAUAGUACAGCUAAUCAACACUGCCACAGUUACAUAAACCAUUGAAUGGAAACACGUUGCAUACUUUUUAAAGGUGUAAUCACAUGAGACUAAGUUGACAUGAGUUGAGGUAAUUUCAUGAUUUUUUUUUUCAUACUUGAAGAAGACAAGCCUCGAUGUUGAGCUGAGGUUAAAGACUUAGGUGCUCCUUAAAAUUUCAAAUAUUUGUAAGCUCAAGCUACACGUGAUUUUAGUGCCAACGUGUUGUGUGAUCUUGUUUCCAUGGGUGAAUACUCUGCAAGUAGGCAAUUAAACUUUAAACUGUCA